CCCCAAUAUAUGGUAAAAACCAAAGAAAAACAAGUUACCUGCGUUCUCUCCUUAAUCCCUAUGUAUUUUUAAAACCUCCAUUUGUUUAAAAGUACUGCUAUCUUAUAUAUACACAUAUACAUAUACACACACAUAUAUACAUACAUAUAUACAUAUAUACAUACACACACAUAUACAUGUACAUAUAUUGGUCACUCAGGACAUGAACUCACAUUUCCCAUACUGCUGACUCAGAGUGGGGACACUACUAACUUACCAAAGUGUGUCCCCAAUAUAGACAAACAAUCACCCACAAAGAAACACUUAAGACAAACAAAGGUGACCGGGAGAAAGAGAAGUUUGGGUUAUACUUAUAGAUCUACAAACCGUGCUGCUCAGAACACCUAUAGAC